UACGGGGGGAGCAAGCGUUGUUCGGAUUUACUGGGCGUAAAGGGCGCGUAGGCGGCCAGCACAGGUCAGUUGUGAAAUCUCCGGGCUUAACUCGGAAAGGUCAACUGAUACUGUGCGGCUAGAGUGCAGAAGGGGCAACUGGAAUUCUCGGUGUAGCGGUGAAAUGCGUAGAUAUCGGGAGGAACAUCGGUGGCGAAGGCGGCCUUCUGGACGGAUACU
rnacentral:rRNA from 1 species